ensembl:rRNA 5S_rRNA 5S ribosomal RNA
GCUUACGGCCAUACCACCUUAGGCACGCCCGAUCUCGUCUGAUCUCGGAAGCUAAGCAGGGUCGGGCCUGGUUAGUACUUGGAUGGGUGACCGCCUGGGAAUACCAGGUGCUGUAAGCA